rnacentral:rRNA from 1 species
CCUACGGGAGGCAGCAGUGAGGAAUAUUGGUCCAUGGACGAGAGUCUGAACCAGCCAAGUAGCGUGAAGGAUGACUGCCCUCUGGGUUGUAAACUUCUUUUAUAUGGGAAUAAAAUGUUCCACGUGUGGGAUUUUGUAUGUACCAUAUGAAUAAGGAUCGGCUAACUCCGUGCCAGCAGCCGCGGUAAUACGGAGGAUCCGAGCGUUAUCCGGAUUUAUUGGGUUUAAAGGGAGCGUAGGUGGAUUGUUAAGUCAGUUGUGAAAGUUUGCGGCUCAACCGUAAAAUUGCAGUUGAAACUGGCAGUCUUGAGUACAGUAGAGGUGGGCGGAAUUCGUGGUGUAGCGGUGAAAUGCUUAGAUAUCACGAAGAACUCCGAUUGCGAAGGCAGUUCACUGGACUGCAACUGACACUGAGGCUCGAAAGUGUGGGUAUCAAACAGGAUUAGAGACCCGAGUAGUC